rnacentral:rRNA from 1 species
AUUGAACGCUGGCGGCAGGCCUAACACAUGCAAGUCGAACGAGUGGCGGACGGGUGAGUAAUGUCUGGGAAACUGCCUGAUGGAGGGGGAUAACUACUGGAAACGGUAGCUAAUACCGCAUACCAUCGGAUGUGCCCAGAUGGGAUUAGCUAGUAGGUGGGGUAAAGGCUCACCUAGGCGACGAUCCCUAGCUGGUCUGAGGGGAUGACCAGCCACAUGGGAACUGGGACACGGGCCAGACUCCUACGGGGGGCAGAGGUGGGGAAUAUUGCACAAUGGGCGCAAGCCUGAUACAGCCAUGCCGCGGGUAGGAAGAAGGCCUUCGGGUUGUAAAGUACUUUCAGCGGGGAGGCGUUACCCGCAGAAGAAGCACCGGCUAACUCCGUGCCAGCAGCCGCGGUAAUAC